rnacentral:lncRNA from 1 species
AUGCUUCUUGCAGAUGGCGAGGUUCCCGAAGAAGGUGGCUUUUUCUGCCAUGUUGAAGGUGAGGUUGGCACCCAUGGCGUCAACGGGGAUCUGAAAGAAGUGCUUGAGCAUCUGCAGGUUGGUGGACUUGCCGAAGUUGGGUGGCGCCACCAGGACGAGCUGCUCCCGACUGUCCAAGAAGUGUUUGAUGAACGUCGUUUUAUCGACGAACGUCUCACGGCCGGCCACCUCCCGAAAAGGCCACCACCCGUCUUCUCUCUCAUCUUGGUUGUGAGGUUACGGCCUGACUCUCAAAAUCACACAAGAUAUGUUUUUGAACAAAAAUAUAUCUGGAAAAAAGUUCCCUUUUGAAAAAUGAAACUUCCCACAAUUUCGGCACCCCUAAUGAAUGUUCUUUUGCCACCACAUUCCAUUAAAAAAUAUCACGUGAGUAGUAGAUUCCCAAGAUGUGUGAAAAUAAAUUGAAGGCCCGUUUAAAUAUAUUCAAAAAUGUGAUGCUGUCUCUUGAGAUUCACUUACCUGAAGGACAAAGCCGAUGUAAAACAGGAACUGUAGCAUUUUUCACUAAGAAAAAUAAUCAAUAUCAAAGUUGUUGUCCGAAACAGAGUAAACUUUCAGAAAUAGAAUGAGCCAGUUCAAAGCACGGAGAGCAAUACAAACACAACGCGAGCUAUGAUAAGACUACAAAUCGACGGUGUAAGUCGGCAAUCACAUAACUCGGUUCGCGACGUCGCAGACUUCCUGUCAAAGUUUAUUUUUUAAACAGAAAACUUCUCAACGGCAAUUCUUUGAAACCGCCGUGAUUUUUCAUCUCUGUGCAAAGAAAAUUCUGCAAGAUCUUCAAGGAAUGAUGUCAAUUUGUUCUCUUUCAAAAAAAUAACAUACAGGCGGAGAUUUUCAGACACCGCAAACGAGAUAUGUCAUUGCGGACUUGCGCCGUCAAAAUAUUAUGCAAGGGCAUUUACAAAGGCUGUCCCAGAAUGACCCGGACUGGUUCUGUAAUAACUCAAAAACUGAUCAACGGAUUGAGCUGAUCUUGGGCUCAUUUGAAUGAUACAAUCAAAUCGAAGCAAUUACGCUAAAGAUUACCUUAUUUGAAUGAAAAUUGACACUUUGACAACAAUGACACUUUAAAAACAGGUUGUAAGAAAAUACCCAACCGUUUUUUCUAUUUGUUUCUUUCGUUUUACUCAUCAAAUUUUUCCAGUGAUCUCUUCCCAUCAAAAACAACUUGGCAACAAAUGCUGAUUGCCUUUUUGAUUCAGAGGGCAUGGUCUAUCAGCACUUUGUAUAUAUAACCGAUAAAACUACUGUGGACAGCGAAUAUUAUUACAAUGUUCUGACGGAUUUUCGCACGCAUGUCUCGCGAAAACGUCCGAAAUUGAAAACAACCUGGAUGCUCCAUCAGGACAACGCGCAUUCUCACACCUCGAACGCCGCCAGCAAUUUUAUAUUAAAGAGGGAAGUUGAGACCCUCAGGCACCCACCAUACAGCCCCGAUCUCGCUCCAUGCGACUUCUGGUUGUUCCCGCAAUGGGCCUGUUGCAUGCAAGAGAUACAGCCGUAUGAAUAGACUUUUGAGAGGUAAAAUGUCACGAAAAUUACGAUGGGCACAUUAAAAAAGUCUGAAAUACACUCCUUAUUGCGCAAUUUGUGUUGUUAGGAACGCGCUUUUUCAAAUUUUCCGCGUCUGGGGGCAGUUUUCUAACGGAAACAAGUAACGGCAACUCGCGGCUAUUUCCGGUCAACUAAAACUGACAACAUAACCUGAAAAUCGGAGAUCGUGAUAUCGUGAAAUGAAAUGUAGAAGGAUUGCGUUGAAUAUUUAAAAGUUGAUAAUUUAGUUACUGCGUAAAGGGUAUGUGGACCA